AUCAGCACCCUCACCCAUGCCCUCCUCCUCCUGGGAUCAGCACCCUCACCAUGCUCCUACCUCCUGGGGAUCAGGGACCCUCACCAUGCCCUCCUCCUCCUGGGAUCAGCACCCUCACCCAUGCCCUCCUCCUCCUGGGGUCAGGCCCUCACCCAUGCCCUCCUCCUGGGAUCAGCACCCUCACCCAUGCCCUCCUCCUCCUGGGAUCAGCACCCUCACCCAUGCCCUCCUCCUCCUGGGAUCAGCACCCUCACCCAUGCCCUCCUCCUCCUGGGAUCAGCACCCUCACCCAUGCCCUCCUCCUCCUGGGGUCAGGCCCUCACCCAUGCCCUCUCCCUGGGGUCAGGCCCUCAACAUGCUCCCACCUCCUGGGGGAUCUGGAACUUGCGCACCACGCCCAGCUCGUAGUACAUCUGGACGCCACACUUGACCAGCUCCAGCUCUGUGCACUCCAGGCGUUCCCUCGUUGGCUAAAAGGAGCAACAGGCAGGUCAUGGGACAGAGACGGCACUGCCCUCAGCCUUGAGUGAGAGAGUGACCAUCACCUUCACAUGUAAGCACGUUGGACAAAGGGACUCUGAGGACUGAUGGGCAGCUGUCUCCUUGGGCCAGGGUACCCUUGAUUCCAGAUAGACAGGCACCCUCAUGGGAGUGAGCAGGUACCUGAAGGCCCCAGUGUGACUGUGCACGUGCGUGGAUGUGAGUGCUUGCAUGAGUAUGUGAGUAUGCACGUGUGUGUGCGCGGCUCACUUUCCUGCAUCUCUCACUGAUCUCAGCACUCUGCAUGGAUAACAGGUGGAGCCUCUCAUGAUGGGCAGGCAGACAUUGGGCACACUCAUCCACAUUCGAACCUGAGGCACUGGGAAGUCCCGGGGCUGGGCAGGCAGGGUACGGGCGCCAGGGACCUGGGGUGGGGACCCAGGGGUGUGUCUUCCCCUGGGCUCCCUGCCUCCCCCACAGAGGACUGUGGAGUGCAAGGUGUGGUACCAGGAUCAUCUGGAUUUCAUCCUUGUCGCAUCUCACGUGGUACAGAACCAUGUCCUGGGCGAUGUCUUUGCGGUUCUCCAGCUUGUUCAUCUUGUCAUAGGUGUCUGUGUUCAGCACUGACCAGCCCAGGAACUGCGUCAGGGACUGGAGACAGAACUGCAGGGUCACCCACUUCCCCGUGCUCCCUGAUGAGUUCUGCUGGUCAUUCAGUGGGCAGGUGCCCAGAGCCUUCCAGUGGGGCCUGCAGGGAUGUGGCCUCAUCCCCACUCUCCCUGACCUCGUGCUGGGGAGAGGCUGAAAGCAGUGGAGGCACCCCACUUGCUGGCACCCCAUGCCGUCACGCACGGCCCCUCUGCCGCUUUACCUCCAUGAGAACUUCAUCCUGCUCGUCAAAGGGCUUCCCGUCUUUCCUGUUGUAGAAGGUCGCCACCCCCACGAUCUCCUCCUUCUUGUUGACGAUGGGCAUGGAGAGCACAUUCUUGAUGACCCACCCAGAGUCGUCCAGGGGCCCCUCCUGCGGGGGCAGAAAGAGCUGAGGGCAGCCUUGGGUCUGGCCCCGGCCAGGUGUGUUGCCCAGGGAGCGCCUCAUUUGGCUGCUCUCAGGUGUGGAGCCUGGGCGAGUUCCUGUCUCUUCCCUGGGCUUGUCUGGGAACUUGGUUCCACAGUCUUCGUGUCAUGAUCUUUCCAACUAGAGGAGCAAGUUUUCCCACCAGAGCUGGCUAAAGAGGGUGGCAGGCCCAAGAAGUCCCUCUGAGAAGACCCCAAGCGGCGCUGCUCUCAACGCUCUCCACGACUGCUCAACACGGGCCUCACACUUCCAGUUUAUACUGGGCCCUGUGUAUUGUGUCACUGGUCCUGUCUGCCAUCCCAAGGAGACUGGGCCUGGAUGAUGGACUAGGGAGAGUGGGCCCAUUCUUCCAGGAGGCAUUUAGAGACAAAGCCUGUUCCCAUCAGUCCAUGUGACCUCCUCAGAAAGAGCCGGCCCUGCCCGUGGUCCCCUAUGAUGACAUGAAGAGCAAGCAAAUGAUGCUGGGGCUCAGCCUGGCCCAGCUGAACUCACAUAGGACCAACUGAGCCCAGUCAAGAUCAGCUGAGUACAGACAGGAUCCGCUGAGCCCAGUCAAGAUCAGCUGAGUACAGACAGGAUCAGCUGAGCCCAGUCAAGAUCAGCUGAGUACAGACAGGAUCUGCUGAGUCCAGCCAAGAUCAGCAAAGCCUAGGCAGGAUCAGCUGAGCCCAGGCAGGAUUGGCUGAGCCCACCAGAGCCUAGACAAGAUCAGUGGAGCCUCAGCAGAGCCCAGCCCACCUGCAGACCUGUGAGCACAAAUACAUGCUUCUCAUCAGCGACUGGAACUGAGGUUGUUUCUUAAGCAGCAAGAACUAAAUUGGUCUAUCACUUCUGAACUAAAAUACUCUCUUUCCUGAGACACACACUGCCUACCAAUGACUAGACAGAUACCUGAAACUUGAACAUUUCAUCUGUGGAGGUAUUCAUGAUGUUACAGAUCUGAAAAAGGAUCAGAAUUGGUGUCACCUGGAGCGGCUGCAGGCACACUGGUUCUAAAGGCACUGACCAGCCCAGCCUUGAUUGUGAGAGGCAAACUUCUAACGCGGCAAGGUGAAGGGUGGCGGGAAGUGCAGAGGUGGGGAGGCAGGUGUGCAGGCAUUCAGCACCACGAGCAUGGGUCUGCGCCCAGGGCCACAGCACUCACAAAGCCACUUUCUGCCACAUAGGUUGGAAGGCCACUGGCCAGGGCCCAGUGAUCGUCUGGGGGUGUGCUGGGGGAGAGAAGCAGAGGGUCAGCUGGACAGAUAUUUGAGUUGCGGGGUGUGACGGCAUGUGAGUGUUCAGGUCACCCCCUUCUCUGAGCUCAGGUGGAGGUGGGGGUGGGGUGGGAACCUGGUGAGAACUGGAGGAGGUCAGAGGAUGAGGCUUGUCCCACUCCACCCUGCUGGGGACUCUACACUCUGCAAGAACUGCUCCCCCCGGGGGACCCCAGGCUUCAGUUACCCUCCUGGACUCUGUUGGUCCCCUGUCCUGCAGUCCUGGCCCAGCUUAUGCAGGCCUGGCCCCUGAUCCUGGUGCUUGUUUGGAGUCUGGGGUGGGGUCUUGUCGGGCCUGUGGCUCGUGGGGUCACUGGCCACACUGUGUAGGGUUGAGGAGGGCACUCCUCUCCCCAGUCCCUCUAGGCUGGAGCUGGGGCCUGAGCUCUGUACUGAACUUCUCCUUGAGGGUGGGGCUCCAUCUGUGAGCACUGGGCGGCCAAGCAAAGAGACCCCCAAGCUGACCUCCGGGCCCCUGCAAGGCUCACCUGAUCCCACUGGAUGCCCACUCUGAGUGUCCAGGUGGCUGGUCACCUCCCUCCUCAGUGCCCCGAUUCCCUUCUCACUAUCUCAGAGCAGGCAAGCAGCUUCCCUGCCCCGAGCUGCAGGACCACAGGCCAGGUGGGCCGCGCUGGCUCCUCCUGAGAAACCCGGGAUCCAUUGCCCCAAAGGCGGCACCUGGUCUGAGGGCCCCAUGGUGACGCCGCUGGAAGAGCCUGCACUUACGGAAUGACCUUGAUGUCCUCCUUGCCGUGGAGGAUGUAGUCAAUGACUUUGUAGAAGACAAUUUCCUGAGAACCAGAACACAUCAGGGUGUGGCCCCUGGCGCGGCUCCUCCACGGGACCCGUCCCUGAGAGGGCAGAGGGCCAACGCCCUGCCCAGACGCUCGUGCCCAGCUCCAGGUGACAGCACAGGCAGGUGACAGGCACACGCCCCACAAGUCCCAAGCAUGCGUUACACACUCAUUUUCACGCAGCUGCACCCAGCAGGGCACACUGCGUGCCUGGUCAGGGAACGUGCUGCACACUUGAUUUACAGCCUCUUCCUUCUGUCCCACUUGCCCACUCGUGGAGGUUCGGGGAAGCCGCCCCACCCUUGGGGCAGGUGGGCAGCUGGGGUAGGGGUCCUCCUCACAGCCUCCCCCGAGUUGAAGCCAGGGAAGCCAAGGUAGGAGCUGGCCUGGCCCUGACACCCCACUCACCCGGCCGUCGGGUGUGCGUGGGCCUGAGUAUGGCGGAGCUUCUCCCAUCAGCACAGGCCACACGUCAAAAAACUCCUGGGCAGAGGAGAGCAGAGCGGAGAGUCAUCCUGGAGCUGGGUCAGGCUGGCCAGGAGGGCCCCUGAAAACACCAGGCCUCACCUUCUCCUUGGUCAUGUCCAGGAGGCCCACGGAGUACCGGUCACAAUUCAGAUAGGCCCGCACUGUGUAGAAGGCCUUGUGGAACUGCCUCUCGAUGUCCGUCAGCUCCUCAAACACCUUGUUGGCUGACCAGAGCAGCACCUGGAGAGGCGGCACACCGUAGACCUGCAGACCCGACUGUCUGACCACAGCAGCCUGGGGUCAACUCAGCCUGGCACACGCAGCGCACGGCAUCUGACCACGGAGCCUGGGAGGACGCUGCGUAACCCAGGCUUUCAUCUGGGUGUAGGACUCUGCUUCCUGACCCAGAGGGACCUGGGAUCCCUGGGCAGCAAGGUCUCUGGGCUUUGGUUGCAAUCCUGCCACACACUGCCCAGCACUGGCUUCGUGUUUGGUCAGUGAGUAAAACUUCAGAGGGAGGAGAGUGAAAACUGAAAUCUGUUGCUCUGGGCUUGCAAGAAAGAAGGACAACUAGCCUCCGAGGGACUGCUCUGCAGUGGGCCUUCCGGAAGCUGGGGUUUGAGGAGGUAAAUUCUCUGGACAUCAGACCCUUUGUCUCAGCACAGGGGAGACGGUCCUCUGAGCGUGGUGGCUUGGCCUCUGACUCCCUCUGCCCAGCCUACCAUCGUCCAGAGAGGUGGGCGAGGCCUGGCUCCCAGCACCACCCUUGGCACGGUGCCUUAGCCCUCACCAGAGCAGGUGCCUGGGUGUCUCCUCUCCCUGUGCCCAGCCUCUGCCACACCAGCUCCUGUGCCUCCAACACCCAGCCCUGCACCAGGACUUCUGGUUGGCAGCCCUGGGCUCCAGAGCCAGCCCUCCCACCCUCUGAAGCCUAGGUGACUUCCCUCUGCCUGUCCCCUCACCCUCAGACGCCCACAGCACAGGAAGGAGGAACAUGAGCUCCUGCCGCAGUGACCGCAACCCACGGGUGCGUCCAACCACUCAACCUGAAGUUCACAGGGGGCGGUGCAGACACCAUGUCCACUGAGGAGAGGGACACACGGUGACCACGGGGCAGAUGCACAGGCAGCCACAGGGGAGGCACCCUAGUUGCUCUAGCUCCCCAGAGUGUAGAGGGAGGACCUGUGGUGGGACACUGCACCCUGGGGGAACAGGACCCGCUGCCGGUCCUGGAGCAAGGAGGCAUUCCACCCAGCGCUCCCUCCUGCCCAGGGCGCACCCACGCCCCGUCCCGCAGUGCUCCCUCCCUCUGCUCGUGGGGCCAGCUCCUUCCACCAGUGCUUCCUCCCCCUCUGGAGGGAGGCCACUCCGCCCAGCAGCCUUCUCCUCUCUCUCAGAGUGCGUCCUGCGUGCCUUCCGGGGCCCCACAGGAGCCACGCUGCCCUCAUCCCAUGCCUCCUCCUCUUCCCGCGGGGUGGCGGUGCUGACCCUGCUCCAGCUCUCUCAGGCUUGCUUCCUCUCGCCUCUGCUGUAGCGACGGGUCUGCCUCAGCCUGGCUCUCUGGCCUCGACUGCACCAGCUCCACCCCCGCGCGCCCUGCUGCCCUGGGGCCUCUGCAGGCACAGGCGUGGUCAGUCCAGUCCUGGAGGGUGGCGGGUCCGACUAGGACUCUCCUAACAAUUGAAUAUGGAGCACUUUCUUGCAGCUACAGCGCCUACCGUUCCGUCAGUCUUGCUGCGGUUGUGCAUGUGUUGGAAUGGCAGGCCACUCUGUCCUCCCGUGGGAGGCCUUCUCAGGCUCAUCCCAGCUCUGGAACGAGGAGCGUCUUCACCCACACUCCUUGACUGACUGCAGGAGAGGUGCGCCUGAGGCCAGGGCCUGCUGAUCUUAGGGGAGUGAGGCGUGCGCACCCCAGAUUUUCAAGGAUGCUCCAAACCCACAUUCUUGUGUGAAAUUCCUUGACUUCAAAAUUUUGGAAAUGUUCCCCAUUUUCUUCUUGUUGUUUUAUAAUUUCAAGUCUUAUAAGUCUGCAAACCAUUUUGCAUUGGUUCUUGUAUUAGAGUUGACAUAAAAGUUCAUUUUAAUUUCUAUGCAUGUGGAUAACUAGUUUUCCUGGCACCAUCUAUUUCCCUGUGGUAUGUUCUUAUCACCUUUGUUGAAAACCAAUCAAUUUGAUUUUUUUUCUGGUCUCCUAUUCCAUCGGCCCCUGUGCCUGUUUUUGUGUUGACAUCAUGCUGUUUGAUUACUAUAGCUUCAGAAGACAUUCUGAAAUCUGGGAGUGUGAAACCUGCAGUUUUGUUCUUUUCAGUCAAGUUUGUUUUGGUCUUUUGUGGUUUCAUGUGAGUUGUAGGGUUGUUUUUCUAUUUCUAAGGAGAAUAACAUUGGAAUUUUGAAGGGCAUUGCAUUGAAUCUGUAGAUUGCUUUGGAUAACAGACAUUUAAACAA